ensembl:lncRNA
AGACUGAGAAAGAGUCUCACCACAUCCUGACAUGAGGAAAAAGACUUUAUUGAAGACUACAAUGAGAAAAACUAUCAGACAGCAGACGGCUGCAUUCAAGUCUGUAGCUGCUGAAUUCAUGGAUGAAUCAUCUGGCACUAGAGAAGAAGACCAUCAAACAUCCACGUCAGCUGAUGGAGGUCCAAGAGUCUCACCAAACAACCAACCUACAGAGUGAAGACCUCCAAUCUGAUUGGACGGCCUCCUAUUCAGCCACAUGUGUGAACAAAUGCCUCUAAGCUGAUUUGUUUUCUAAAAUAAAUCUAGUUUGAGUCCUAAUCUAUGCCUGUGUGUUUGCUUCUUUACACCGCUGUUAACAGUUUAGGCUGUUAGAUUGUUCCAGAUAAGACAAGUACAAGAUUCUUCAGAGCCGUUCUACCACGAGCCUGACAGGAAGAACUCCAACAGCUACUGAAUGUUCCUGUGGUCCCCUCAAGGCUACAGGAGGAGUCCUACGAGGACGAGCCGGUCCACCUGAUGGUGGCCAGUCGCUGCGGUUUAAAGCCAACACCGACUAUGUGGACUUCUACUGGACCACACGGAGGCCUUCAAACCGGACCAACAAGUUCACCGACUCCCCGACUCGUGGGUCUGAGGACGCUGCCGAGCCUCGGCCCAGCCGGCCUCCUGUCUGUGGGUGUUUGAGUGCUGAGAGGUUUGUGGAUGCAUGUGAACGUUCUGUGUUGAAACAGCAGCUUUGGACUCAGUAACGCCGGGAAAAACCAAGAGCUCCUUUAUUUGUCACUUCCACUAAAACUGAUGAAAAUAAGUUUGCCAGGGUUCUGACUGAUGACAGAUUAUUAAAUAAUGAAAAUAAUCGUUUAAAUAUUCCUUUAAACAAUCCUUUUAGG